rnacentral:rRNA from 1 species
AUGAACCCAACGUUGGCACCGGGACCGGAUGGAUUUCCCGUUAGAUUAUUUCAGGUGUUAUGGUCUACCAUCAAGGAGGACAUACUCGCCUUGUUCCUCGAAUUCUAUAGAGGAAUGCUAGAUGUUUCCUGUCUGAACUAUGGAAUUAUUUCUUUGAUUCCGAAAGUUCUGGGGGCAGCGGAUAUUCGGCAGUUCCGCUCGAUCACAGUUAUCAAUGUGAUAUUUUGGGUUCUGGCCAAAGGGUACACCACUAGGGUGGCCCUUCUGGCCCCUCAGAAAUUUCAUCUGAAUCAGUCGGCAUUCAUUAAGGGCCGAUAUAUCUUGGAUGGGGUCUUUGUCCUCCAUGAGGUUAUUCAUGAAGUGAAAUGGAAACGCUUGCGAGCAGUUUUCUUUAAGAUCGACUUCCAUAAGGCAUAUGAUACCGUCCAUUGGUCCUUCCUUCGGGAAUUGAUGUUGAAGCGGGUCUUCGACCACCAUUGGAUAACACGGCUUAUGCAGCUGAUGUCGAGCGGACGCACGAUGAUCAACAUCAAUGGAGAGGUUGCCCCCCUAUUUCUAGAUGUCUCAAGGGGUGCAACAGGGAGACCCUCUCUCCCCCUUUUUAUUCAACCUAGUGGUUGA